rnacentral:rRNA from 1 species
CCUGACGGUAGUCGUAUGCUCGUCUCCGAGACUAAGCCAUGCAAGUCCAAGUACACGUCCUUGAACGACGGAAACUGCGAACGGCUCAUUAAAUCAGUUGCGAUCUACUCGGCGUUCCGCGCCGCCGGAUAACCGUAGUAAUUCUAGGGCUAAUACGUGCGAAGCGCCCGAAGCCGCGAGGCGACGGGCGUUCUCGCCGGAUGUAGGAACCGACCCCGGGGACCGCCGGGGGCAACCCCGGCGCCCCCGAGACGGGGCGAACCACGGUGAAAUGACGGAUCGUCGGCCCCGCGCCGGCGACUCGCCGAAUGAGUUUCUGACCUAUCAACUCGAGACGGCGGGGUAGAGGCCCGCCGCGGUAACGACGGGUAACGGGGAAUCAGGGUUCGAUUCCGGAGAGGGAGCCCGAGAAACGGCUACCACUUCCAAGGAAGGCAGCAGGCGCGCAACUUACCCUAAUCUCGAUUCGAGGA